GACGAACGCUGGCGGCGUGCCUAAUACAUGCAAGUAGAACGCUGAAGGAGGAGCUUGCUUCUCUGGAUGAGUUGCGAACGGGUGAGUAACGCGUAGGUAACCUGCCUGGUAGCGGGGGAUAACUAUUGGAAACGAUAGCUAAUACCGCAUAAGAGUAGAUGUUGCAUGACAUUUGCUUAAAAGGUGCACUUGCAUCACUACCAGAUGGACCUGCGUUGUAUUAGCUAGUUGGUGAGGUAACGGCUCACCAAGGCGACGAUACAUAGCCGACCUGAGAGGGUGAUCGGCCACACUGGGACUGAGACACGGCCCAGACUCCUACGGGAGGCAGCAGUAGGGAAUCUUCGGCAAUGGACGGAAGUCUGACCGAGCAACGCCGCGUGAGUGAAGAAGGUUUUCGGAUCGUAAAGCUCCGUUGUAAGAGAAGAACGAGUGUGAGAGUGGAA
rnacentral:rRNA from 1 species